rnacentral:lncRNA from 1 species
GAUCAGACUCUAGCAGAAAUGCCAGAGAAUCUCUCCUCAAAAAAAGCACCUCAGGCAAUUUUCUCAGGAUCAAGCAAGUUGCAGGAACUCUCUUGCACAGCCCUCCAGGUGUUUACAAGAUAAAUAACAUGCUCCCAACAGAUGAAAACCAAAGAGGAGUUCCCACUGUGGCUCAGUGGUAACGAGCUCAACCAGUAUCCGUGAGGAUGCAGGUUCAAUUCCUGGCCUCACUCAGUGGGUUAAGGAUCCAGCGUUGCUGUGAGCUGUGAUGUAGGUCACAGAUGCGGCUCUGAUCUGGCUGAGCUGUGGCUGUGGUGUAGACCAGCAGCUGCAGCUAGGAUUCACCCCUAGCCUGGGAGCUUCCAUGUGCCACAGAUGCAGCCCUAAAAAAAAAAGAAAAAAAAGAAAAGCCCAGAGAGACAUACAAUAAUACAAGGGUGUGAAUCAAACGAGCCAAGAGAUUGUUCAGCCAAGAAGUCACACUUCAGAUCCAGGGCUCGGUGAUGGCACUGCCCAGAGGGCAAACUAUUACAAGUUUUGCCGUGUACUGGUUGUUGACUCUGAAUCAAGUCCGAUAAUUGCUUUAAGUCUGUUUCCUCAUUUGUAAAGUAGGGAUAACAUAGGCCUAAAGGUAUUGCUGUGAGAAUUCAAUGGAUGAACUGCAGUUGUAUUUAUAAAGCAAGCAGGCAUUUGGUUAAAUGUCAGUUUUCAUCCUUAUAAAAACAGCUAGUUUGUGAGCACCUGACAUGCCCUGCCUAAGUGUUUUACAUUUAUUUGCUCCUUUAAUCUUCACAACGACCCAAUAAGGUAGGUUCCAUUAUUCUCCUCAUGUUACAGAUGAGGAAACCAAAGCACAGAGAAGUUAAGCAACUUGCCCAUUGUCCCCCAGCCAGAAAGUGGCAGACCUGGAACUUGAACCCCUAAAGCCUGGCUCCAAGCCCCAGGAUGAAUAACCCCCUUGGGAACAAAACUAUAACAUCCUUUAGGAAUCAUGAAAAUUGCACCUUGGUUUCUUUGGGGGAAAAGUAGACCACACAGCUGAAUGAGUCCAAAAAUUAGCUGAGGGGCCAAUUAUAGGUGCGGGCAUCUGGCCAGGAUUCCUAGUCCUCUGAGUUUUCCCGGAUUGGCUUACACACAGCUGAAUUUGUGGGACGGGGAAGUGAUUGGUCUUGCUAAAGCUGGUUCUUGUUGGCUAACCUCCUUCUCACUCAGGGACAGACAUCAAUUAGUUGCAGCCUCAACACAGGACACCUGUUUCUGGACUCCGCCCACUGAAAACAAGGCCUUUGUAAGAAUACAAAGGGAUAAGAGGAAAAUCAGGCUGAACUGGUGUCUUGGGGACAUGGUGUUGGAGUCGCGUCCACUCAUGUGCCUGGCUUGAUUUACGAAUUAUGGAUAAUCGCAAACAAACAGAAACCAGGCAGUCACACUUCUGGAUGGAGAGAUGCAAAGGAGCCUGGAGACACUGCUUGUUUCUGGGGAGGGGAGCCCAGAGUCUGGUUGGGAGGAAGGCUUCCCAUUUGUGCAGCUUUGUUUUUACACCCUGAGCACCUCGGUCAGGGUUCUGGCAGGAUACAGCUGGCACACUUGAAUAAGGUGAUGUAGGCGGGCUUUCCUACCAGGCCAUUACCAGAAUGGGAGCAGAUGCCUGGAGACCCAACCAGUGGAGUAUCUGGGCUGGGGCUGGGGCUGGGGUGGGUAGUAGAGAGGAGCUGUUGGCAGAACUGUACCUGGCUGGGUAAGGGUUGGGAAUGGCCACCAGUGCCUUGGGAAGGGCUGCCCUAGGAGAACAGGUGACUCAGAUCCUGGAGGUGGGGAAGGGCCAUAAAUAACCUCUACCUCCGUCUGGUCCUACCCUCUACACUCCUGCUGGCCUCUCUACUUGCUGAACCCAACCACCAGGCAGAGACGGGGGUGAUUCUGCAGGGCCCAGAGCAGGGUGGAGAUGGGCAGAAGGAGUCUCUGUAGAGCAGACUGGACUGCUGGACGGUAGGCAUGGCUAUGGUGGUACAGUGAUGUAGUAGAGAUACACAUAUUUGGGAGUUCCCGUUGUUGCUCAACAGGUUAAGAACCCGACUAGUAUCCGUGAGGAGGUAGGUCCAAUCCCUGACCUCGCUCAGUGAGUUAAGGAUGUGACGUUGCCUCGAGCUGCAGUGUAGAUCACAGACAUGGCUCAGAUCCCGUGUUACUGUGGCUGUGGUGUAGGCUGGCAGCCACAGCUCUGAUUCGACCCCUAGGCUGAGAACUUGCUGCAAGUGCAGCCCUAAAAAGACAAAGAAAGAAAGAAGGAAAGAAAUAGGUAUUUGGUCUUCAUCCUUAGUUCCUGGCCCAGAGUUCCUAAAUCCUUGUAAAACUGAGUGAUGGGAAAUUAAGAGCAUCUUUGUUACACUGUUUGAUCCUAGUCCCCAUUCCUGACAUAGAGCUUCUCUAAAAUCUUUGAAUCUCCAGAGUGAUUAAGGGUGUCUUUCUCUAGGUUAAGGAAAUGACGGAUGACUGGGGGCUGCAGUGGGGAGUCAUCACCUGAACUGGAAAGGCCAGCAUGAUUAGAGGGUAAGAAAUUUCAGCCCCAGCCCAGCCCACUUCUGGGGAGAGUAGAGGGGUCACCGAUUGAGUUCAUCACCCAUUGCCGAUAAUUUAAUUAAUUAUGCCUACGUAAUGAAAUCUCCAGGAAAACCCUAAAUAAAAGGGUUGGCAUUGGUGGCACUUGGGAAUGUAUUCCAGCAUCUGGAUGGUGGUACACCCCAGCUUCUUAUGUACCUCGCCCUCUGGGUGGUCGUUUGUAUCCUUUAUGAUAAAUGGGUCAUGGUAACGUGUUUCCUUGAGUUCUGUGAGCUGUUACAGCAAAGCAUGAGGAUGGGGUCAGGGGAGCCCCUGAUCUGUAGCCAUAGAAGCUUGGCGCACUGGGAACUGAAUACAUGACUGGCAUCUGAGGUGGGGGCAGCCUUGUGAGACUAAACCCCUAACCUGUUGGGUCUACGAGAACCCCAGGAGGUUAGGGUCAGAACUGAAUGAGAGGGGAGUUCCUACUGCGGCGCAGUGGAAACAAAUCUGACUAGUAUCCAUACGGACGUGGGUUCGAUCCCUGGCCUCCCUCAGUGGGUUAAGGAUCUGAUAUUGCCGGGAGCUGUGGUGUAGGUCGCAGAUGUGGCUCGGAUCCCUCGUUGCUGUGGCUGAGGUGUAGGCCAGCAGCUGUAGCAUAGAUUGUCCGCUAGCCUGGGAGUUUCCAUAUGCCACAGCACAGCCCCCCACCUCCCGAAAGAACUGAAUAAGAGGCUGUGGCUUCUAAAAGUCUCAUGUGAUACUUCUGCCCACCGUUC